rnacentral:rRNA from 1 species
AGCCUGACGCAGCGACGCCGCGUGAGGGAUGACGGCCUUCGGGUUGUAAACCUCUCUCAGCAGGGACGAAUUUGACGGUACCUGUAGAAGAAGCACCGGCCAACUACGUGCCAGCAGCCGCGGUAAUACGUAGGGUGCGAGCGUUGUCCGGAAUUAUUGGGCGUAAAGAGCUCGUAGGCGGUCUGUCGCGUCGAAUGUGAAAACCCGGGGCUCAACUCCGGGCUUGCAUUCGAUACGGGCAGGCUAGAGUUCGGUAGGGGAGUCUGGAAUUCCUGGUGUAGCGGUGAAAUACGCAGAUAUCAGGAGGAACACCGGUGGCGAAGGCGGGACUCUGGGCCGAUACUGACGCUGAGGAGCGAAAGCGUGGGGAGCGAACAGGAUUAGAUACCCUGGUAGUCCACGCCGUAAACGUUGGGCGCUAGGUGUGGGGGUCCUUCCACGACCUCCGUGCCGCAGCUAACGCAUUAAGCGCCCCGCCUGGGGAGUACGGCCGUAAG